rnacentral:rRNA from 1 species
AUGUUCAUGGCCUUGCUGUGGUUGCAUCAUGGUCCGUGGGGAAUAGAAACAAAUACCUUUGCUACAACCGAGGUCUUGACAGACCAGUCAGGGAGAUAUAGGUUCGGAUCAAUUUUUUUUCAUAAUUUUGCAGGGGUUGAUAUGCUCUAUCCCUUGAGAAGAAAUGAAGUUGAGGGGAGGCUAUUGCAUGCUGGAAAAUCAGUUGGUGUUGUCUAUGUUGGUUUCAGGAAGAAAAGGACCGGCAAAUUGAUGGCUCAGGCAUGUCAUACAAAGUACCUUGUUGUAUCUAGCAGAUUGCGAGGAUUCCCUUCUGUUGUAAGAUGA